rnacentral:rRNA from 1 species
UGAGGAAUAUUGGACAAUGGGGGCAACCCUGAUCCAGCAAUGCCGCGUGAAUGAAGAAGGCCUUGGGGUUGUAAAGUUCUUUCAUCUGUGACGAUAAUGACGGUAGCAGAAGAAGAAGCCCCGGCUAACUCCGUGCCAGCAGCCGCGGUAAUACGGAGGGGGCGAGCGUUGUUCGGAAUUACUGGGCGUAAAGGGCGCGUAGGCGGCUCUUCAAGUUAGGCGUGAAAGCCCCGGGCUCAACCUGGGAACUGCGCUUAAGACUGGAGGGCUAGAGGACGAGAGAGGAAAGUGGAAUUCCUAGUGUAGAGGUGAAAUUCGUAGAUAUUAGGAAGAACACCGGUGGCGAAGGCGACUUUCUGGCUCGUAACUGACGCUGAGGCGCGAAAGCGUGGGGAGCAAACAGG